rnacentral:rRNA from 1 species
UACGGAGGGUGCAAGCGUUGUUCGGAAUUAUUGGGCGUAAAGGGCGCGCGGGCGGUUUAUGUUAGUCUGCUGUGAAAAAGCGAUCGGCCUUAACCGGUGUCUUGCGGCGGGAUACUGCAUAGCUUGAGUACUGGAGAGGAAGUGGAAUCCCGGUGUAAUCGGUGAAAUGCGUAGAUAUCGGGAGGAACACCGGUGGCGAAGGCGGCUUUCUGGCCAGUUACUGACGCUCAUGACGCGAGAGCUGGGUUAGCGAACCGGAUUAGAUACCCCCGUAGU